CACGUAGGCACCAAGCGUUGUCCGGAUUUAUUGGGCGUAAAGAGCUCGUAGGCGGUUCGGUAAGUCGGGUGUGAAAACUCUGGGCUCAACCCAGAGCCGCCACUCGAUACUGCUGUGACUCGAGUGCGGUAGGGGAGCGGGGAAUUCCUGGUGUAGCGGUGAAAUGCGCAGAUAUCAGGAGGAACACCAGUGGCGAAGGCGGCUCACUGGGUCUUUUCUGACGCUGAGGAACGAAAGCUAGGGGAGCAAACGGG
rnacentral:rRNA from 1 species